rnacentral:rRNA from 1 species
GACGAACGCUGGCGGCGUGCCUAAUACAUGCAAGUCGAACGAGAGCAACCGGUGCUUGCACUGGUCAAUCUAGUGGCGCACGGGUGAGUAACACGUGGGUAACCUGCCCAUCAGAGGGGGAUAACAUCCGGAAACGGAUGCUAAAACCGCAUAGGUCUUCGAACCGCAUGGUUUGAAGAGGAAAAGAGGCGCACGCUUCUGCUGAUGGAUGGACCCGCGGUGCAUUAGCUAGUUGGUGAGGUAACGGCUCACCAAGGCCGUGAUGCAUAGCCGACCUGAGAGGGUGAUCGGCCACAUUGGGACUGAGACACGGCCCAAACUCCUACGGGAGGCAGCAGUAGGGAAUCUUCCGCAAUGGACGCAAGUCUGACGGAGCAACGCCGCGUGAGUGAAGAAGGUUUUCGGAUCGUAAAACUCUGUUGUUAGAGAAGAACAAGUGCUAGAGUAACUGUUAGCGCCUUGACGGUAUCUAACCAGAAAGCCACGGCUAACUACGUG